GGGGGCGGGAGCCGCGCCGCCCGCGCAACCGGAGGGGACGGAGCUGGCAGAGAGAGCUCAGCUUCACCUCCUUCCCUGAUGUGACUUCUCCCAGAGCAGACUCGCACUGCCGAGCACAUGAGGAGCAGUGGAUCACGACCGGGGUGCUGAGCGAGGCGGGUUAGAUGACAUUCCUGCCUGGAACAGAUACAACUGCAGUGUGAAUGGAGAGCUAUCCUCAUAUGGCUGCAAGCACGCAAUGCUGAUGGGCGAGUUAAGUGUCCUUAGCCACCCCUUCCCUCUCUGCAGUAAAUUCCCCUGGUGGGCGCAGGGUCCCGGAAUACGAAGCUGCCGCUGCGCUUGUGCUGCUCACAGCUGUGCUGCUGUCACUGUGCUGCUGUCACCGUGCUGGUACAGGUGUGAGUGCUAGAACAUACACCUUAAACAUCUCUUUAAAGAGAAUACUCCUGGUGAGUCAGGCACAGUUCUGUUGCACCCCAUGCAGGAUCACUGCAGCGUAGUUUAUGACAGAAAGUGAAGAUCUCUGUGGUCUGUAGAAAUGAUGCUGACAGUCUGGUAGAUAUAAGACAAGUUUCACUAGACAAAUUGAGUUACAUGGUGACAAAUGUCAUCAGCUACUGUGUGCUGCAGCACUAAAAUGUUACCUCAGUUUGCUCUUCCUUGCUCUUGUAAGCAUAAAUCAUUACAUUUAGCAAGACGUCAUACCUGCUUUUUAAAAAAAUGCUUUCUGUGUGGUGACAUCAGACUUUGUACUAGAGGUGUUUGCAUUGCUGAAAAUUUGGAAAAGGAAAUUAAAAUGCUAAUAAAAUGUGUUCUGAAAUGUUUAAAAUGUAGUUUUUCUUUAAGAUUCAGUGUCCCAUUGAAUAGUUAUGUAACAAUGCUUAAAUGCAGUCUUUUCUUAGUCUUUCAUUUGGCAUAAUGAAUAUAAUGUAAAGUCACAUCAAAAGACAAAAACAACUA